rnacentral:rRNA from 1 species
GACGAACGCUGGCGGCGUGCUUAACACAUGCAAGUCGAGCGGUAAGGCCCUUUCGGGGGUACACGAGCGGCGAACGGGUGAGUAACACGUGGGUGACCUGCCCUUAGCUCUGGGAUAAGCCUGGGAAACUGGGUCUAAUACCGGAUAUGACUCCAUGACGCAUGUUGUGGGGUGGAAAGCCUUGUGCGGCUAGGGAUGGGCCUGCGGCCUAUCAGCUUGUUGGUGGGGUGAUGGCCUACCAAGGCGACGACGGGUAGCCGGCCUGAGAGGGCGACCGGCCACACUGGGACUGAGACACGGCCCAGACUCCUACGGGAGGCAGCAGUGGGGAACCUUGCGCAAUGGGCGAAGGCCUGACGCAGCGACGCCGCGUGGGGAUGACGGCC